GAUGAACGCUGGCGGCGUGCUUAGCACAUGCAAGUCGAACGGAAAGGCCCAAGCUUGCUUGGGUACUCGAGUGGCGAACGGGUGAGUAACACGUGGGUGAUCUGCCCUGCACUUCGGGAUAAGCCUGGGAAACUGGGUCUAAUACCGGAUAGGACCACAUUUUGGAUGGUGUGGUGGAAAGUUUUUCGGUGUGGGAUGAGCUCGCGGCCUAUCAGCUUGUUGGUGGGGUAAUGGCCUACCAAGGCGUCGACGGGUAGCCGGCCUGAGAGGGUGUACGGCCACAUUGGGACUGAGAUACGGCCCAGACUCCUACGGGAGGCAGCAGUGGGGAAUAUUGCACAAUGGGCGCAAGCCUGAUGCAGCGACGCCGCGUGGGGGAUGACGGCCUUCGGGUUGUAAACUCCUUUCGCUAGGGACGAAGCGUUUUUGUGACGGUACCUGGAGAAGAAGCACCGGCUAACUACGUG
rnacentral:rRNA from 1 species